CGCAAUGGGCGAAAGCCUGACGGAGCAAUACCGCGUGAGGGAGGAAGGCUCUUGGGUUGUAAACCUCUUUUCUCAGGGAAGAACAAAAUGACGGUACCUGAGGAAUAAGCAUCGGCUAACUCCGUGCCAGCAGCCGCGGUAAUACGGAGGAUGCAAGCGUUAUCCGGAAUGAUUGGGCGUAAAGCGUCCGCAGGUGGCUUUGCAAGUCUGCUGUCAAAGCUCAGGGCUUAACCCUGAAUCGGCGGUGGAAACUGAAAGGCUAGAGUGCGGUAGGGGCAGAGGGAAUUCCCAGUGUAGCGGUGAAAUGCGUAGAGAUUGGGAAGAACACCAGUGGCGAAAGCGCUCUGCUAGACCGCAACUGACACUCAUGGACGAAAGCUAGGGGAGCGAAUGGGAUUAGAUACCCCAGUAGUCCUAGCCGUAAACGAUGGAUACUAGGCGUUGAGAGUAUCGACCCUCUCAGUGUCGUAGCUAACGCGUUAAGUAUCCCGCCUGGGGAGUACGCACGCAAGUGU
rnacentral:rRNA from 1 species